UAAUUAAUACUCAAUCAAUUUUCUGGUACUCUUCCUUCUGAGCUUGGUUAUCUGGUCAACUUGCUGACCUUGCUUUGUAGGAAGUGCAAUGAAACAUUCAAAAGACUGGAGGGGAAAGAUCAGAAAUGCUCAAGCGUCAAUCAAAUGUUGUACGAGCACUUAAAUGCAGCUCAAGACGUAAUUUCUACUUUCUGAAUUUAUAUGAAACUAUCAAAACCCUAGUAUUUUUUCCAGAAAGUGUAGAAUCAAAUGACAUUAACUUUGAAGCA